rnacentral:RNase_P_RNA from 1 species
CAGAUAGACAGAGCAUAGCUGUCGCGGUGCGAAUUCGUUCGCGCCACGGUGGAGGAAAGUCCGGACUGCACGGGACGGCACACUGGUUAACGGCCAGGCGGGGUGACCCGACGAUUAGAGCAACAGUGACGAAUCGGUUUAAAGACCGGGUGAAACGGGCAAUCUCUGUGUGCAGCAACCUUGAAUAGGUUCCUUAUGUGUGUCCCGCACUUGGAACGGGUAAAGGGCUUGACGUAUUGUGGUAACAUGAUAUGCAGACUGAUUAUGCUCGCUACCCCUGGGACGGUUGACAACAACUGGCCUGGGGCAGUACAGAAUCCGGCUUAUCGUUUAUCUGUGUA